CCUACGGGGGGCUGCAGUGAGGAAUCUUGCGCAAUGGGGGAAACCCUGACGCAGCAACGCCGCGUGAGUGAGGAAGGUUUUCGAAUCGUAAAGCUCUGUCAGGUGGAAAGAAAUGUCUGUAUGCGAAUAACAUGCAGACUUGACGGUACCACCAGAGGAAGCACCGGCUAACUCCGUGCCAGCAGCCGCGGUAAUACGGGGGGUGCAAUCGUUCUUCGGGAGCAUUGAGCGUAAUGAGCGUGUAGGAGGCGAAAGCCCUGGGCUUAACGCAGGAAGUGCAUUUGAAACUGUCUGGCUAGAGUAAGGAAGAGGAAAGCGGAAUUCCUGGUGUAGAGGUGAAAUUCGUAGAUAUCAGGAGGAACACCGGUGGCGAAGGCGGCUUUCUGGUCCUAUACUGACGCUGAGACGCGAGAGCGUGGGUAGCAAACAGGAUUAGAUACCCCGGUAGUC
rnacentral:rRNA from 1 species